rnacentral:misc_RNA from 1 species
CUCGAGACGCGUCGAUCCGGUGAAUCCCACGUCGGACGACGGGAUGACGUCCUUCAAUUUACGACGUGCUCGUACAGUCCAUGAUCUUCGCUUCUUCGAGUCUCCUCUGUCUCACUGUGCUACAUUCGACGUGGGGCGACGCGGCUUUUAAGGCUUUCUCACUCGGGUUCGAAUGCACGUCAUUACCUGCCGUCAACGCUAGGAUAUGUUGGACAUAUCUAAGAGGGAGGAUGACGUAUGUGGAAAGGGUGAGCAAGGAGGACUCCAGAAGAUCCGCACUGACAGGAUUCUGUAAAUAAGACAGCACGCAAGAGAUAAUGGAUGCCAUCGGUACAUGAUGGAUGCAGAACUAUACGGUGUGAGAUGUUGCAACUCGAUGUCACAAGAUAUGGACGACGCCUCGCAGUCGACGAAUGGCAGACGCGCGCGAACCAAGGAUACCGCGAUUCUGUGAUCGGAAUCGGCAGGCGCCGAGAUGACGGUCGCGAAGAAAUUGCUGAGAAAAUAGAAAGAGAAGAACGGCGAUAUUGAUGGAGAGCAAGUCUCGAUGGUAGCAGUGGGAGGAUUGUAUUUUUACCUUGACGACAGCGGAAAAUGAGAAAUAGCGGAGGGCCAACAGAAGAACGCUCUACCAUUCCUAUGCAUACCUCUACUUUUACCACGCCGACUAUGCAACCAGAGUAUUCCUCGAUCGUGAAAAUAGACCAAUCUUAUCGUGUAUGAAAUGUUCGGAAUAAUCGGACUGUGGAUAUUCAUUCGUUCGUGAGGAUUUAAGACGUGUAACAAUGUAGAGAAUCUGUACGAUAUAUAGAAAUUUACAAAAUAUUUAAAGUUAAAUGUUUCAUAAAAAUGUGAAUAAAUAUCCGCAGUCUAGUGACAACGCCAUAGAUCGAACCGAUGCGACAGUACUUUCUCUGCGAGCAAAGGAAAGAAUUAAAUCAGUAUCCGUUAGAAUUUUUCGAGAGAGCGAAG